GCCCCUAUUGUCGAGUGGUUCAGGACAUCUCUCUUUCAAGGAGGCAUCGGGGAUUCGACUUCCCCUAGGGGUA
rfam:Triticum aestivum genome assembly, contig: Triticum_aestivum_CS42_TGACv1_scaffold_306373_4AS